UACGGAGGAUGCGAGCGUUAUCCGGAUUUAUUGGGUUUAAAGGGUGCGCAGGCGGCACGGCAAGCCGGCGGUCAAAUCGCGGGGCUCAACCCCUCCCAGCCGUCGGAACUGCCGGGCUAGAGUGGGCGAGAAGUGCGCGGAAUGCGUGGUGUAGCGGUGAAAUGCAUAGAUAUCACGCAGAACUCCGAUUGCGAAGGCAGCGCACCGGCGCCCUACUGACGCUCAGGUACGAAAGCGUGGGUAUCGAACAGG
rnacentral:rRNA from 1 species